AAAAGAAUGUAUAGAGUUAGAUACACCAUUCUGGAUGCUUGAAGAAAGGGGACAUUUUUCAGUAAAAACAGCAUGGGAUUACCUACGAAGAAGAGAAAUUCCAAGGAUAACCUACAAGAUGAUAUGGGUCAAAGGCUUACCUUUCAAGAUAUCUUUCUUCUUGUGGAAGGUGUGGAAAGAAAAACUGCCACUUGAUGAUUUCUUGCGUAGAAUAGGA
rnacentral:lncRNA from 1 species